AAUAGGCUAAUUUUCCCCAAGAGCUCACAUUGACAGGAAGGUUUGACACCUCGAUGUCGGCUCUUCGCUACCUGGGGCUGUAGUAUGUUCCAAGGGUUGGGCUAUUCGCCCAUUAAAUCGGUAUAUGUGAGUUGGGUUCAGAACGUCGUGUCACAGUUC
rnacentral:ncRNA from 1 species